rnacentral:sRNA from 1 species
UCAACCGGACACACAACUACGACUCAAGAUUCCGAAAGGACUUCACAGACCCGCAGUCAUGCGCCGCUUUCAUACGCUCAUUUGAAUUGUAAAAGGUCGAAAGAAAAACAAGCUGAAACAAAGGGAGAGCAAUUUGGAGAUAAAUUACUUCACAGUUCUCUUCCAUGGCGGGGAACUCCUAAAAGAUCAUGGAAUAGGGAAAAGACUGCAGGCGUUCCCUGCUACACAAGCUUGUGUACACAUAAAGAGAUACUAUACAAUGAUGAAAUGAAGAUCAAGCAGCCCAAGCAACACCAUUCUCUAAAUCACAAGGUUAUUGACACCAAGAAAUCCGUGCACACAAAGCAGACAGAAAUAAAAAAGGACGCAAUAGAAACCAGGGUGCCGACACUCAGUCUAAACCUCUCCCCUGUGACCCAGUCCAGGGGUGGCGACGACCUCGUUGCUGAGUCUACAAGACUCAACGCUCUGACACCGCCGCUCCCCCCAGUUAAGCAUGUUGGGCACACUAGCAGACACAACGAGUGGUCGAACAUGCGGCUAGCGGAGCUGCUAAAGGACAGAACUGCUCUCAGUGUUCAGGACCAAGUGAUGACCUUAAUGGGUCAAGGUCACCAAAGAAAAAAACCUAGCCUCCUAAAAGACGAAGUUGUCACUGACGUUGACCUCGGGGCAUCCGACUUCUACAACAGCCACUCCUGGCUUCAGAUGGUGAACACGCCUCUGGUAGAUACAAACAUUUAUGAUAGAUACGCCAAUGUAAAAAUGUCGCUUGAAAGGCAAUAAUUUGACAUUGCCUUCCUGUCUGAUUUUUAAGUAAACAAAAAUGCUACAUACUACGUGGAAAGGAGACCCAUCAUUGACCAAGCUUUAUUAAUGUAGUAACUGAACCAGUGAGAAUAAGCUCAUGUGAGUGUCCGUCAUUGGCUUUUAAAUUCACAGGGAUUUUAUGAUGUACUAAGAUUUCUCAAAUUCAAAAAAAAAAGUCUUCACAGGGAUUUAAACUUGUAAAAUCUGUUACGAAGGCUAAAAGCUUUGUCUCUCCACCAUCAGGCCCUCCCCCAUCACCUGUAUGAUUAUUUUCACAAAAGCCAUUGAGUUUAAUCUUGAGAAGCGAGCUAAGUACAUUUUGGCUAGAUUAUUGGUCUAUAGAAUAAUUGGUAGAACCCUUUUAGGUGGCCCAGAAGUGUAGUUUUUUGUAUAUAUUUACACUGAGAUUUUUCAGAUGACAUAUCAUAUUAAAAAAGUAAUUUUA